GAAGCCCCAUUUUGCUCACUCCUUGCUGCAGUGCAGUGAUGAAGCUUUCAGGCUGUUUUGUUAUUCUCCUAAUGAACGGCAAUCCUGAUCCUUCACCAGAGGAUCUGCUGCUAUUCUGCAGGCUAAAAGUGCUCCGGACCGCCUCACCAUGGGCACAGUGUCUGCACCGUAAAGCAGCCCCAGUCUCUCCCUUCCCGUGGCUCAUCAGAAAAAAAAAAAAUUAGUUUUCAAAAGGAGCGGUAACCUUUCUUCCUAGUAUCCUUCUCAGACAGAGGCAAGUAAGAAAGAGGAGGCAUGUGAGUUCUACAUGUUGGUGUCCCUGGACCUACAUCUCAGCCAAUCCCUGUCCUGAGGGACCUGGGCGUGGAUCCCAAGCUUGUCAGAGAAUCACACCAGGCUCUCUCCUACCUGACAUCCUGGUUCUUCUAGACACCAUCUUGCACUGGUAGGGCAUGGCUGGAUGUCAUGGAGCAGGCCUUCAA